rnacentral:rRNA from 1 species
AAUCAGUUUCCUUUUCAUGGGAGUCUGACUAUCAUUUACUAAAAAUAUUAUCUAAUGCAAAACGAGAAUUAAAGGAAAAAUUGAAAAGUGUAAUUAAACGAGUAGGCCAUAAAAUCAUGGCAAGUCUGGUGCCAACAGCCGUGGUAAUUACAGCUCCAAAAGCGUAUAUUAAAGUUGUUGCAGUUAAAAAGCUCGUAGUUGAAAUUGAGGUAGAUGUAAUUUGAAAUCUUAUGAUUGAUUAUUACUAUACCUUUUCUUCGUGUAUAUUAGUGAGGGACUUAAUUGUUUUUUACUAGUAACCGAAAUGUUUACUUUGAAAAAAUUAGAGUGCUUAAAGCAGGCUUACGCUUGUAUAUUGUUGCAUGGAAUAAUAAAAUAGGACUUUGGUUUUAUUUUGUUGGUUUUCUUAACUAAAGUAAUGAUUAAAAGAGACUGCCGGGGGCAUAUGUAUGCUGGUGCUAGAGGUGAAAUUCUUAGACCAUCAGCAGACAAACUACUGCGAAAGCAUUUGCCAAGAAUGUUUUCAUUAAUCAAGAACGAAAGUCAGAGGAUCGAAGACGAUCAGAUACCGUCCUAGUUCUGACCAUAAACUAUGCCAACUGACAGUUAGUAAAGAUGAAUUAUUUCUUCUUACUAGAAGUCACCGGGAAACCAAAGUCUUUGGGUUCCGGGGGAAGUAUGGUUGCAAAGCUGAAACUUAAAGGAAUUGACGGAAGGGCACCACAAGGAGUGGAGCCUGCGGCUUAAUUUGACUCAACACGGGAAAUCUCACCCGGUCCGGACACUGUGAGGAUUGACAGAUUGAUAGCUCUUUCUUGAUUCGGUGGGUGGUGGUGCAUGGCCGUUCUUAGUUGGUGGAGCGAUUUGUCAGGUUAAUUCCGAUAACGAACGAGACUCUGACUUACUAAAUAGUGAAUUUAUAUUCAAUUGUAAAUUCUCACUUCUUAGAAGAAUAAAUAGCGUUUAGCUAUAUGAAAUAGAGCAAUAACAGGUCUGUGAUGCCCUUAGAUGUCCGGGGCCGCACGCGCGCUACAAUGGCAGUACUAACAAGUUUUCCUAACUAGUCGGGUAAUCUCUUGAAACACUGUUGUAUCAGGGAUGUGAAUUGAAGUUUUUUCACAUGAACGAGGAAUUCCUAGUAAGCGCAAGUCACUAGCUUGCGCUGAUUACGUCCCUGCCCUUUGUACACACCGCCCGUCGCUACUACCGAUUGAAUGGUUUAGUGAGAUUGUUGGAUUCUGAUUUAAGAAAUGGCAACAUUUCUAUGAAUGGGAAAAGACACUCAAACUUGAUCAUUUAGAGGAAGUAAAAGUCGUAACAAGGUUUCCGUAGGUGAACCUGCGGAAG